GGCGGCGUAGCUCAGCUGGUUAGAGCAGCGGAUUCAUAAGCCGCGGGUCGCAGGUUCGAGUCCUGCCGCCGCUACCA
rnacentral:tRNA from 1 species